AUUGAACGCUGGCGGCAGGCCUAACACAUGCAAGUCGAACGAGUGGCGGACGGGUGAGUAAUGUCUGGGAAACUGCCUGAUGGAGGGGGAUAACUACUGGAAACGGUAGCUAAUACCGCAUACCAUCAGAUGUGCCCAGCUGGGAUUGGCUAGUGGGUGGGGUAACGGCUCACCAAGGCGACGAUCCCUAGCUGGUCUGAGAGGAUGACCAGCACCACUGGAACGGAGACAGGGCCCAGACUCCUACGGGAGGCAGCAGUGGGGAAUAUUGCACAAUGGGGGCAAGCCGGAUGCAGCCAUGCGGGGUGUAUGAAGAAGGCCUUCGGGUUGUAAAGUACGUUCAGCGGGGAGGCGUUACCCGCAGAAGAAGCAACGGCUAACUCCGUGCCAGCAGCCGCGGUAAUUC
rnacentral:rRNA from 1 species